rnacentral:rRNA from 1 species
GCCAGACUCCUACGGGAGGCAGCAGUGGGGAAUAUUGGGCAAUGGGGGAAACCCUGACCCAGCAACGCCGCGUGAAGGAAGAAGGCUUUCGGGUUGUAAACUUCUUUUACCAGGGACGAAGAAAGUGACGGUACCUGGAGAAAAAGCUCCGGCUAACUACGUGCCAGCAGCCGCGGUAAUACGUAGGGAGCGAGCGUUGUCCGGAUUUACUGGGUGUAAAGGGAGCGUAGGCGGCGAUGCAAGUCAGAAGUGAAAGCCCGGGGCUCAACUCCGGGACUGCUUUUGAAACUGUGUUGCUAGAUUGCAGGAGAGGUAAGUGGAAUUCCUAGUGUAGCGGUGAAAUGCGUAGAUAUUAGGAGGAACACCAGUGGCGAAGGCGGCUUACUGGACUGUAAAUGACGCUGAGGCUCGAAAGCGUGGGGAGCAAACAGGAUUAGAUACCCCUGUA